rnacentral:rRNA from 1 species
AUUGAACGCUGGCGGCAGGCCUAACACAUGCAAGUCGAACGAGAGGCGGACGGGUGGGAACUGACUGGGCACCUGCCUGAUGGAGGGGGAUAACUACUGGAAACGGUAGCUACUACCGCACACCAUCGGAUGUGCCCAGAUGGGAUUAGCUUGUAGGUGGGGUAACGGCUCACCUAGGCGACGAGCCCUAGUUGGUCUGAGAGGAGGACCAGCCACACUGGAACUGAGACACGGGCCAGACUCCUACGGGAGGCAGCAGUGGGGAAUAUUGCACAAUGGGCGCAAGCCUGAUGCAGCCAUGCCGCGUGUAUGAAGAAGGCCUUCGGGUUGUAAAGUACUUUCGGCGGGGAGGCGUUACCCGCAGAAGAAGCACCGGCUAACUCCGUGCCAGCAGCCGCGGUAAUAC